GAAGGGCUGUAGCUCAGUGGUAGAGCAUAUGCUUUGCAUGCAGAAGGUCCCAGGUUCAAUCCCUGGGUUCUCCA